rnacentral:lncRNA from 1 species
GUCAUACUUUACGUUCCUGUCCAGAAUUUUCUAUAUAUUAUCUCAACAAUGUUAUAAAAAUAAUAAAAAUAGAAGAGUAAUUUCACAUUAUCCAAGUAGAAACAAGCACUACAAUUUGUCAAGUAAUACAAGGAUGGAAUAAGAUUGAACAAAGAAUGUCACCUUCAAAACUGUCGGAUUUAAACCAUCGCCAGUCCUCACUUUGGGUCACUAAAGGAUAAGAUGCUCUUCACGAAUGGCUAACAAUUCUGUGCUCUUGAAACCUUAAUCUCAUUAUGCAUUUAUGUGGUUAUAUAUGUCCUAUAGAGUGAAACAAAAACACCCAUAUACAACUAAAACAAGACGAGUAACUCAAGAUUUCGACUACACAUAAUUUUAAAAUUUUAAAUUUACAGAAGAAGUCAAACAUAGUAUCGGAACAACCAAAAUGCAUAAAGAAAGGCACUACACAAACAAGGCCUGGUGAUAGCCCUGUUGACAAGGGCUAAGGUGACGGUGCCUCAGCCCCUGAUCUGAAUUGAUGCUCAAUUUAGAUCGGGGGCUAAGGUGGCGAUAGGGCUUCUCAUCAGGCCAGUUUGUUUAGAAUUUUU